CGCAUGUGUUUUAUUAUUUUGGAGACUCCCUUAAAACAAAAUGGGGGUUCAGGUUCAUGGGGGAAAACAACGGAUUGACAAAACACACGUGCUCCGGCAAGCAGUGUUGUAACGGUGAAGAUCUGACCGGGAGCACAUCUGUGAGUACUGCGAGUAAGGCGAAACAACUUGUUUCCGAAGUGCAAAGCGUGAAUUGCAACAAAGGCAAAUGUGAAGAGUCGCUGGCAACGAGAGACAAUUACUGAGAGUUUCAAACGUGCUGUUUAUGACAUUAUUGUAAAUGAACCUUUUCGGUUUUCGAACAUUUCGAAAAUUGUCACUAAAUGAAUUUACAAACAAAAAUAUAAUAUUUGAGAACGAUGAUGCUAUAUACAAUGGAGGCAACUGGUAUUUGUUGUUAUUAAUACAGUUAUUUACUACUAUU